rnacentral:lncRNA from 1 species
GCCCCGUGACCACGCCCUGUUGCUGGUGAAGGCCUCCAUCCCUCCUCCGGGCUCCGCUCUGGGCAUCCAGAGGAGAAAGACUUUGAAGUCCUCAGGGGACUUGCAAGCAGAAGUGGGGGAAAGGGUACCACAAAUGGAGAUGAAAUCUGUCUUUACUUUCCUGAUGUUCCUGGGCUUCAAAGCCAGAGCCAUGAGCCAUGGAAAGGCGGAGUUGGAAAGGACGCUGUCUCUGAUGUGACAUUCUAUGCUCAAAAAUGCCUUUGCCUGGCCUCUUUGUGUGACUUCAGUUGGAUACCAGAAUCCCAGAGACACAUAACAUAUGACUUCAACUGUGAUUUAUGUGGAUUACAUGUUGCUGCUGGCAUUGGAAUCUUCUCAUCAAGUUACACAACUACAAUACUGAAAGAGGACCUUCAGCUUUAUCAUAUCCUUCCAUUACGGAUACUUGUCCCAUCGAUUUCACAUCUGUUGUGUAACAACAUAAAAUGGAGUGAUUUGAAUCAGCGUUCACUGAGAAACUCCUGAUUUUGGCUAUCAGCUGUUAGUUCUGAGCUCCGCUUGGUGAUUCUGCUGUGGGUCAUACCUGGGCUCAGUUGGGUAGCUUAAGGCUUAUGCCAUAAGGCAUAAUUCAAACUAGGAGUGAAACAUUUUGUAUUUAUUUAUUUAUUUAUUUAUUUAUUUAUCUUCUUGUUUUGCCUGUGUGUGUACCACUAGCACGAAUGAUUCUUGCAGAGGACAGAAGCUCGCCAGGAACUGGAGUUACAGACAGUUGUGAGCCAUCAUGUGGGUGCUGGUAAUUGAACCAGGGUCCUCUGCAAGAACAGCCAGUGCCCUUAACUGCUAAGGCAUCUCUCUAGCCCCUGAAAAUGUCUCAUAGGUGUUUUUUCUUCAUUGCUGUGUUUGCAGUUUAGCAUACGUGAGAACGAUUAAAUGUUAAUGUUUCUCUGUCCACAUAAAAGAAGCCAGUGUGUCCUGUGGGUAAAUUGGGUCCUUUAGAGCACUUUGCCUCUGAUUUGAAAUAAAUUCUGUUAAUUCAUCCUGGCUUA